rnacentral:rRNA from 1 species
CAGCAGCCACGGUAACACGUAGGGUGCGAGCGUUAAUCGGAAUUACUGGGCGUAAAGCGUGCGCAGGCGGUUCGUUAAGACAGAUGUGAAAUCCCCGGGCUUAACCUGGGAACUGCAUUUGUGACUGGCGAGCUAGAGUAUGGCAGAGGGGGGUAGAAUUCCACGUGUAGCAGUGAAAUGCGUAGAGAUGUGGAGGAAUACCGAUGGCGAAGGCAGCCCCCUGGGCCAAUACUGACGCUCAUGCACGAAAGCGUGGGGAGCAAACAGGAUUAGAUACCCCCGUAGUCCCUGUCUCUUAUAC